AUUUGUGUGGUGUAGUGGUUUUAGCGUUGGACUAUGACUCGGCAGACCAGGGUUCAAAUCCCUCCUCAGCCA